rnacentral:rRNA from 1 species
AGCAGCCGCGGUAAUUCCAGCUCCAAUAGCGUAUAUUAAAGUUGUUGCAGUUAAAAAGCUCGUAGUUGAAUUUCGGGAUCAAUACGUCGGUCGUGCCUCGGUACGUACCGGCGUCAUUGAUUUCUCCCUUCUGAAGAACCGUGAUGCCAUUAACUUGGUGUCAUGGGAAAUCAGGACUGUACUUUGAAAAAUUGAGUGUUUAAAGCAGGCUCACGCUUGAAUACAUUAGCAUGGAAUAAUGAAAUAGGACGUUCGACCCUAUUUUGUUGGUUUCUAGGAUCAACGUAAUGAUUAAUAGGGAUAGUUGGGGCAUUAGUAUUCAAUUGUCAGAGGUGAAAUUCUUGGAUUU